rnacentral:rRNA from 1 species
AGUGAACGCUGGCGGUAGGCCUAACACAUGCAAGUCGAACGGCAGCACAGUAAGAGCUUGCUCUUACGGGUGGCGAGUGGCGGACGGGUGAGGAAUACAUCGGAAUCUACUUUUUCGUGGGGGUUAACGUAGGGAAACUUACGCUAAUACCGCAUACAACCUACGGGGAAAGCAAGGGGUCCUUGGGACCUUGCCCGAUGAAAUAGGCGGAUGUCGGAUUAGCUAGUUGGCGGGGUAAAGGCCCACCAAGGCGCCGAUCCGUAGCUGGUCUGAGAGGAUGUUCAGCCACACUGGAACUGAGACACGGUCCAGACUCCUACGGGAGGCAGCAGUGGGGAAUAUUGGACAAUGGGCGCAAGCCUGAUCCAGCCAUACCGCGUGGGUGAAGAAGGCCUUCGGGUUGUAAAGCCCUUUUGUUGGGAAAGAAAAGCAGCAGGUUAAUACCCCGCUGUUCUGACGGUACCCAAAGAAUAAGCACCGGCUAACUUCGUG